rnacentral:rRNA from 1 species
CAGUAGCCGCGGUAAUACGUAGGGUGCAAGCGUUAAUCGGAAUUACUGGGCGUAAAGCGCGCGCAGGCGGUUUGUUAAGACAGAUGUGAAAUCCCCGGGCUUAACCUGGGAACUGCAUUUGUGACUGGCGAGCUAGAGUAUGGCAGAGGGGGGUAGAAUUCCACGUGUAGCAGUGAAAUGCGUAGAGAUGUGGAGGAAUACCGAUGGCGAAGGCAGCCCCCUGGGCCAAUACUGACGCUCACGCACGAAAGCGUGGGGAGCAAACAGGAUUAGAUACCCCUGUAGUCCCUGUCUCUUAUAC